GACGAACGCUGGCGGCGUGCCUAAUACAUGCACGUAGAACGCAGUUGCAAACGGGUGAGUAACGCGUAGGUAACUGACUGGUAGCGGGGGAUAACUAUUGGCACCGAUAGCUAAUACCGCAUACUACACGAUGGACCUGCGGUGUAUUAGCUAGUUGGUGAGGUAACGGCGCACCAAGGCAACGAUACAUAGACGACCUGAGAGUGUGAUCGGCCACACUGGGCCUGAGACACGGCCCCGACUCCUACGGGAGGCAGCAGUAGGGAAGCUUCGGCAAUGGGGGGAACCCUGACCGAGCAACGCCGCGUGAUUGAUGAAGGUUUUCGGAUCGUAAAGCUCUGUUGUUAAGGAAGCGGUACUUAACCAGAAAGGGACGGCUAACUACGUGCCAGCAGCCGCGGUAAUUC
rnacentral:rRNA from 1 species